GGUGUUGCACCUGAAACCAGACGUGAGUGGCGACAAAGCUGUGCCUAUAAUAGCCAGCCAACACGGCACGGCCAAAAACGCGGUUCGGGUAGCAGUGUGAGACACCGGAUGCUCUUGCCGAUUUCCAGGGCAGGAGCGCAGCGCUCACCUGUAGUUGGGGUUCCGGUCCGGCGGCAGGGAGAGGGCCGUGGAGCAGACGGUGCACGGAGGCUCCGACGGCUGGAUGAGGCAUCGCGCGUCGGGGAGCGCGCCGGAGCAGCCGGUGCCCAGAAAGAUGAGUGAUGAAGACGACGAAGCCACCGCUGCGGAACCUCCUGUUGGGCGCGUGGGCACCGGACCAGAGUCCAUGGCUCGCGUCACAGGUUCUUGGCUUCUUGGUUGUUCUUCUGCUGGGAGUUUUUUUUUUAAAAAAAAAAAAUUGGAUUUUGAGCUCUGGUUGUUGGGUUCGUAGUUGGUUUCUUGCUACGUUUCUCCUCUUUCUUGCUUCGGUUGGCUUCCAGUCCGGGGGCGGGAAGUGGUUUUCCUUCCAUCGGCACUAUAUGUUAGUGGACGACGUGAUCCUGAUCCAAGCAAAACUUGUUCUGGUCAACUUGAUUAGCUGAUUAUAG